ACGAUGAAGGCUUUCGAGUCGUAAAGUUCUGUUCUUGGGGAAGAUAACGACGGUACCCAAGGAGAAAGCACCGGCUAAAUACGUGCCAGCAGCCGCGGUAAUACGUAUGGUGCAAGCGUUGUCCGGAAUUACUGGGCGUAAAGAGUUCGUAGGCGGUUAGAUUAGUCAGAAGUGAAAGGCUACGGCUCAACCGUAGUAAGCUUUUGAAACUGUCUAACUUGAGUACUGGAGAGGAAAGCGGAAUUCCUAGUGUAGCGGUGAAAUGCGUAGAUAUUAGGAAGAACACCAGUGGCGAAGGCGGCUUUCUGGACAGUAACUGACGCUGAGGAACGAAAGCGUGGGGAGCGAACAGGAUUAGGUACCCUGGUAGUCCACGCCGUAAACGAUGAGAACUAGGUGUUGGGGAUCGAACCUCAGUGCCGCAGUUAACGCAGUAAGUUCUCCGCCUGGGGAGUACGAUCGCAAGAUUGAAACUCAAAGGAAUUGACGGAUCACGAAUUCU
rnacentral:rRNA from 1 species